UACGGAGGGAGCUAGCGUUGUUCGGAAUUACUGGGCGUAAAGCGCACGUAGGCGGCUAUUCAAGUCAGAUGUGAAAGUCCUGGGCUUAACCUGGGGACUGCAUUUGAUACUGGUUUGCUUGAAUUCGGGAGAGGAUAGCGGAAUUCCCAGUGUAGAGGUGAAAUUCGUAGAUAUUGGGAAGAACACCGGUGGCGAAGGCGGCUAUCUGGACCGACAUUGACGCUGAGGCGCGAAAGCGUGGGGAGCAAACAGG
rnacentral:rRNA from 1 species